ACAGUAUCGCGAUGGUAAUUCAACCUAGUACGAGAGGAACCGUUGAUUCGCACAAUUAGUAAUCGCGCUUGGUUGAAAAUCCAGUGGCGCGAAGCCACCGUGCGCUGGAUUAUGACUGAACGAUUCUAAGUCAGAAUCCGGGCCAGAAGCGAUGCAUGCGCAUGCCGCUUGAUUGCCGUCCUACAGUAGGGGCUUCGGCCCCCAAGGGCACGUGUCGUAGGCUAAGCCAGCGCGGCAGAUGCGCCGUGAGGGCCACCUUGUACAAUUCCUACUGAGCGGCGGGGUGAAUCCUUUUGCAGACGACUUAAAUACGCAACGGGGUGUUGUAAGUGGCAGAGUGGCCUUGCUGCCACGAUCCACUGCGAUUCAGCCCUAUGUCGCUUUGAUUC
rnacentral:ncRNA from 1 species